rnacentral:pre_miRNA from 1 species
GACAUUUUUGUAAAGUCAAACUUCUUUAGGUUUGACAAAAUUUAUAGAAAAAAUAUAGCAAUAUAUUCAAUACAAAACAAAGAAACUAUCAAAAUAUGUUCAAUGUUAGAUAUAAUAAAACUAAUUUGGUGUUAUAAGUGUUGCUAUAGUUUUCUAUAAACUUGAUCAAACAUUCAAGAAGUUUGACUUUAAAAAAGUCAAA